GCUUGUCUCAAAGAUUAAGCCAUGCAAAGGAACGUUCAACCCCAUUUGGGGAAGACGCUGGCCGGCUCAUUAAAUCAGUCAUAGUUCAUUCGACAGAUCACUCUACAUGGAUAACCGUAGUAAUUCUAGAGCUAAUACAUGCAUCAAGCCCUGACUUCGGAAGGGGUGUAUUUAUUAGAUGGAAACCAAUGCGGGGCAACCCGGAAUAUGGUGAUUCAUAAUAACUUUCGGAUCGUUUACGAUGCAUCAUUCAAGUUUCUGCCCUAUCAGCUUUGGAUGGUAGGGUAUUGGCCUACCAUGGCUUUAACGGGUAACGGAGAAUUAGGGUUCGAUUCCGGAGAGGGAGCCUGAGAAAUGGCUACCACAUCCAAGGAAGGCAGCAGG
rnacentral:rRNA from 1 species